GGGGAGGUUUCUGCCAGCGGGUUAUCAUCAGGUCGGAGCUCCUCAUUCGUUGGGGCUGUGAGAGGAGCCUACCAUGGGUAGCCCUUGUUUCUGCACGUGAGGGAAGAGAGAGAACCUGCCAAGACCCAGGGGCCAACAUCUGUGUGUGUGUCCCUGCUCUCAAGUCUUUGCACACAUCACCUCCUCAGCCCACACCAGCUAUAAGGCCUGUUCUGUUAUUCUCAUCAAGCACGUCUGACUCUGGAGCUAAGAGAGGGACUCAGUGGUGCAAGCACUUGUCUAAGUCCCAUGGCGGGCAUGUGGCUAGCUGGCAAAGCAGGGCAAGGCCCUGGAUAAUCUGUGUGCUUUGGACUAUUGCUCUAAACCACUUCUUACGUGGGACAAUGAAAGGAAUAGUGCAUUGUCUCCAUCCCAUACUGGGGCAGAACUGACACGAGUCAUUACUAUCUGCUGAAGCCUGGGGACAGGACUUGAGUGAUCAGGUACUUUCACAGAAUAAGUAAAACCCCAAUAAAUUUUAAAUUGAUAUUCUGUAUAAAACAGCAAAGAUCUUUAUUUUGUGUUUCUAAUAGUAGUAUCUGCAGUAAACUUUUUAUGUUUCCUAUAUGGUCACUUUAAUUAAAAAUUCCUCAAAUAACAUCAAUGUAUGUACUCUCUCUCACUCCCAUUUUAUGGAUGUACAGUGCAAUGUUCAUUCUGCAGAUAUACUGAAGGGAGAGAAGAGGGAUUUGCAGGCCAGGCAGACAAAAGAGAUGGACUUGGACACAUGAUCCUUCAGCCCUUCUUUCAGACCACUGGGGGGCUCAUAGUUUUUGACUGACAUUUUGACCUACACUGUUUAUGAACAUGACUAUUUCUUAGAGGGGAGACCACUGCCUUCUUGAGCCUGAACAGAACCUUCCUUCAUCCCUAUAUUUAUUAUGAAAAUUAGAGACAAGAACCUGAGGGGAACACAAUCUAAGAAAAGUAAAGGUCAGUUUUCAUACCUGAGUCCGGAAUCAGCAGCAAAUCACAGGAAGAUAGAGAUAGAAGCUGAACACAGAAGCAGCCAUGGGACAGGAAAGCCCAGAACUGCUCAUUGCUGUGGCAGAUCAUGACAUGAAGAGCCCCGGGCACCUAUAAGCCAUCUCUUCUUCUGAGAAACCGGAACCAGCCCCACCCUCCCGCCUCUGGCCUGAGACCUCCUGCUCCCAGAGACUUCACUCUCUCACCUUCUCCUGGGAAGCCAGCAGGGCCAUCGAGAUGCCUCUACUGCAAGCAGUCAUCUUCUCCUCCUUCUGGGCUUGUGAGUUGCCCUACAAUCAUUUCAGUCCACAGGAGAGGCUGGAAAAAGUCUUUAUUGUUGCCUCUUUAGACAUCAUUUGUUCAUGGGAAUUUCUCCUCUUUGCUUGCAGUUGGCCUGGGGCAGACAAAGCCGAAGCAACUUGAAAUAUCAGUCACCAGAGCAAGAGAUAAGAGUGCCCACAUACAUUGUAAGGUGACCAUUGAGGCGUUUGGCGAAGA